AAUAUAGUUGCCUGAGUGGAGGUCACCUUGGCGGCUGUCCUGGGGCGGCUUGGUCUGUGCGCUGUCAAGCAGGUUCGAAUCCAAUUGUGUCCUUUGGAGAAAAACGUGGAAUCAAUGAGGACCUUCCUCCAGGCGGUGCGCAGCAAGAGGGUCCGCUCCACUAAUCUCAGCUGCUCGGUGAUUGCGGACAUGAGGCACAAGGGCUCCCGGCCCUGUGUGGACGUGCUGUUCGGAGACCUGUAUCUCCUGAUUGUGCCCGGCGACCCUCCUACUGCUCUGGAAAUGCUCACUGCCUUCGCUGCCCACAACCCGGCCAGGCAGGUGGCAGGCAGCGAGGACAUGCAAGGUGCUGAUGCUGGCCGCUGAAGCGCAGAAGAGACCAACAAGAUGAUUUUAGCAUGGACUAGGACACUUAACCUAAGAAGAGUUUCACUUAAUCAUUCAAAUCACUGUCUGGAGGGCCAUGGAGUGCAAAAUAAAACUUAAAACCCUGCUACCAAAAAAAAAAAAAAA